rnacentral:rRNA from 1 species
GAUGAACGCUGGCGGCGUGCUUAACACAUGCAAGUCGAGCGGAGGUUUAAAGCGGAAGUUUUCGGAUGGAAGCAAUAAACCUUAGCGGCGGACGGGUGAGUAACGCGUGGGUAACCUGCCUCAUACAGGGGGAUAACAGUUAGAAAUGACUGCUAAAACCGCAUAAGCGCACAUUGUCGAGUGACAGAGUGUGAAAAACUCCGGUGGUAUGAGAUGGACCCGCGUCUGAUUAGCUAGUUGGUGAGGUAACGGCCCACCAAGGCGACGAUCAGUAGCCGGCCUGAGAGGGCGACCGGCCACAUUGGGACUGAGACACGGCCCAA